rnacentral:lncRNA from 1 species
GUUUUUUUUGAAAUUAAUUUUUUGAGGUCGGUUGUAACCUCACGUGAUUAUCGAAAUUAACAAGUUUUUGCAUUUUUUUUGCGUAUUUUUAUGCAAAUAUGCGCACACUCGCGCUUUUUUAGCGCGGACCGAGAGUCUCCGUUUUCUAUAUAUAGUCUGGGCAUGAUCACAUUCGUAACAAUUUACAUGUUGUCAAAUAUUGCUACUGAGAUGUCAUCACAGAAUAUAUCGACGGGCGUGCAGACGACGGUUUCGUUCCCGCCGGAACUUACCAUAUUACAUCCUCCUGUAUCGGGCUGACCUCUUUCAAAAUUUGACCGUGUUUAAUU